UUCGGAAAAAGGACAGCUACUAGAUGGUUCGAUUGGUCUUUCGCCCCUAUGCCCAAUUCUGACAAUCGAUUUGCACGUCAGAAUUGCUUCGGUCCUCCAUCAGGGUUUCCCCUGACUUCAACCUGAUCAGGCAUAGUUCACCAUCUUUCGGGUCGCAUCCUACGCACUCGGGGGAUGCCCGCUGGGUGGCGCACGUGUGACCGCACGCCAGCCCGUACCGGGGCACCCUGGGAUGGAGGGAGGCGUCCGUGGCUUGCGCCAAGCGCGCCCCCGUAAUCCCGCGACGAAACCGUCUCGAGUUGUCUGCGCCUGUGGGGUUCUCGGUGCACUGGGGCGGGCCCACACGGAUGCGGGUCCGCGCCCCAACGCCCAUUGGCUCGCGCGUAAGAUAGACUUC
rnacentral:rRNA from 1 species